rnacentral:rRNA from 1 species
UAAAGGUUUGGUCCUGGCCUUUUUAUUAGUUGAUAGUAAAAUUAUACAUGCAAGUCUCAGCAACCCUGUGAGAAUACCCUUUAAAUCUAUAAGAUCAAAAGGAGUGGAUAUCAAGCACGCCAUUAGGCAGCUAAUAACAUCUUGCUAAGCCACACCCCCACGGGUUACAGCAGUAACAAAAAUUUAGCAAUUAACGAAAGUUAGACUAAGUUAUACUAUUAUAGGGUUGGUAAAUUUCGUGCCAGCCACCGCGGUCAUACGAUUAACCCAAACUAAUAAAUAUCGGCGUAAAGCGUGCUCAUGGAUAAAAAUUAAUAAUAAAGAUAAAUUACUUCUACACUGUAAAAAGCUAUAGAAUUACUGAAAAUAAACUACGAAAGUGACUUUACUAUGCCUUAUAGCACGAUAGCUAAGACACAAACUGGGAUUAGAUACCCCACUAUGCUUAGCCCUAAACCUUAAUAAUUUAAAACAAAAUUAUUCGCCAGAGAACUACUAGCAAUAGCUUAAAACUUAAAGGACUUGGCGGUUUCGCCAGAGAACUACUAGCAAUAGCUUAAAACUUAAAGGACUUGGCGGUGCUUUAUAUCCACCUAGAGGAGCCUGUUAUAUAAUCGAUAAACCCCGAUAUACCUCACCACUACUUGCUAAUUCAGUCUAUAUACCGCCAUCUUCAGCAAACCCUUAAAAGGUGAAAUAGUAAGCUUAAUAAUUUCCAUAAAAACGUUAGGUCAAGGUGUAGCCUAUGUAGUGGAACUCAAUGGGCUACAUUUUCUGACCCAGAAUAUUUUACGGAUAUUUUCAUGAAAUUGAAAAUUAAAGGAGGAUUUAGUAAUAAACUAAGAAUAGAGAGCUUAGUUGAAUUAGGCCAUGAAGCACGUACACACCGCCCGUCACCCUCCUAAAGUAUAUAAAUUAUUUUAACCAUAUUACCUUAUAAUAAACUACAAGAGGAGAUAAGUCGUAACAAGGUAAGCAUACUGGAAAGUGUGCUUGGAAAACC